AUGGCAGUGGCAAUGGAUGUGGAUACCCCAAGAAGUACCAACAGCAGUGCUUUGAAGUAAAAAAGUGAAAUGCAGUAGCUAGCCCUCUGGGCUUGGGAUGUUGUGGUUAAUAACUGUGCCAUCUGCAGGAAUCACAGCAUGGAUCUGCAUUGAAUGUCAAGCUAACCAAGAGUCUGCCACUUCAGAAGUGUGUACCGUUGCACGGGGAGCCUGUAACCGUGCUUUUCACUUCACUGUCUCUCUCACUGGCUCAAAACACAACAGCUGUGCCUGUUGGACAACAGACAAUAGGAAUUCCCAAAGUAUGGACAC
rnacentral:lncRNA from 1 species